GUGCUCACUUUGGCAGCACAUAUACUAAAACUGGAACAAUACAAAGAAGAUUAGCAUGGUCCCUGCGCAAGGAUGGCAUGAAAAUAUGUGAAGUUUUCCAUAUUUUU
rnacentral:snRNA from 1 species